rfam:Danio rerio chromosome 4, GRCz11 reference primary assembly.
GCCUCAUUGACGCAGUAGGCAGCGCGUCAGUCUCAUAAUCUGAAGGUCGUGAGUUCGAACCUCACAUGGGGCA